UAAUACGUACUGUGCGAACGUUAUUCGGAAUCACUGGGCUUAAAGGGUGUGUAGGCGGUUGAUUAAGUAGGGUGUGAAAGGCCUUGGCCUAACCAAGGCAUUGCGCUCUAAACUGGUCGACUUGAGUAAGAUAGGGGUGUGCGGAACUUCCAGUGGAGCGGUGAAAUGUGUUGAUAUUGGAAGGAACGCCGGUGGCGAAAGCGGCACACUGGGUCUUAACUGACGCUGAGACACGAAAGCCAGGGGAGCGAACGGGAUUAGAUACCCCGGUAGUCCUGGCCGUAAACGAUGAGCACUAGUUGGGAGGGGCUUCGGCCCAUCCGAACGCAGCGAAAGCAUUAAGUGCUCCGCCUGGGGAGUAUGGUCGCAAGGCUG
rnacentral:rRNA from 1 species